CAAUAGCGUAUAUUAAAGUUGUUGCGGUUAAAAAGCUCGUAGUUGGAUUUCUGCUGAGAACGACCGGUCCGCCCUUUGGGUGUGUAUCUGGCUCUUUCUUGGCAUCUUCUUGGUGAACGUUGCUGCACUUGACUGUGUGGAGCGCUACCCAGGACUUUUACUUUGAGGAAAUUAGAGUGUUUCAAGCAGGCAUACGCCUUGAAUACAUUAGCAUGGAAUAAUAAGAUAGGACCUCGGUUCUAUUUUGUUGGUUUCUAGAGCUGAGGUAAUGAUUAAUAGGGAUAGUUGGGGGCAUUCGUAUUUAACUGUCAGAGGUGUAAUUCUUGGAUUUGUUAAAGACGGACUACUGCGAAAGCAUUUGCCAAGGAUGUUUUCAUUGA
rnacentral:rRNA from 1 species